rnacentral:lncRNA from 10 species
GUUGAUACCUGCAUGGGGAGGGGGCCACUCCAAAAAGGGAAAAUGCUACUGAACACCUGUCUGGAGGUGGGAAUUUACAUGAACGAUUCUGGCCUCGCAGGGAAAUUUUCUCCCAGUCCUCUCUGGCUCCCAUUUUCCUUUGGUCAAAGUUCAGUUACCAGCAGCCACCUCUUCACACCUUUGGCUUUUGUCCACUUGACUCCAGCAGCCAUUCAGGAACCAGAACCAGCAUGCUGCCUGGUGCUGCAUUCCAUCCAUUCCCUGUUUCAGCCCAGGUGGAGGACUGACAAGGAGAAGGAAGGAAGGGGAAGACUGAGAGGACACUCGAG